rnacentral:lncRNA from 1 species
AUCAAAGAAUUCAUUGAUUAAAAGGAAGCCAUGUCAUAAAAAACUUAAUAUUAUGUUAUAAAUACAAACUUAUACAGGUGUUUUCAAAUCCUAUAAUACAUACAUAAACUAAUUAAAUAUCUAAUAAUCAUCAUACUUGUCAUUAAAGUAUUUUUCUUCUUCUCUUCUUUAUGUUGUUAGUGCCGAAGAGGUGGUUGCACUAGGAAACGUGGUUGUUGGGUGGACUGAGAGAAUUGGACCAUAAGCUGUGCAUCUGAAGGUAAAAACCUCGGGAACAAAUUUUGUAAAUUCUCAAAUUAUUAUUUAAGAUGAUCAUAAGCUUAGUCAGAAGCUUGCAUCAGCUGAUCAUAACCUAUUGGAUGUAGAUGAUUGUGGUUCAAUGUAGCUCAUCAUAACCCUUUCAUUCUUUCUCUUUUUCCAGAAUAACCCCUGGUCAAAGAGGGCCAAUUGGACAAAGCUGAGGUGCCCUAAGUGCAGCUAGCGAAAUGCACCAUUUUGAAACCCUGAGUUAAUUGAAACGCAACAUUUUUGGAGUGCAGAGGUAGCUGAUUGAAGGUUGGAUGCGACAAGGGGCUUCAACAAAAUUCUUUCCCAAAUUGAACCCUCGAGCUACGGUUCGAAGAAGCUCUAAAGGAAGAAGUGCACUAAGGUGGUUCAGUUCUUUCUCCUUUUUUCGCUUUCUAGUUUAGUAGAAAGUUCUGUUAGAGAUUAGAGUCUCGGUUAGUUCAGUUCUUUUAGGGGGAUUUCUUAUUCCCAGAUUUUAGCUUCUGAUUGUUGAUUAGAAUUAGAUAACAGAGUAGUUCUUUCUCCAUAUUUUCGAAUUCAGUGCUUCUUUCUUCAUUAGAAUCAGAGUAGAGAGUGAUUUUUGGAUCUUCUUCUUUGGAGAUUGCUGAAGGAUUCUCACUAGCACAAAAAGGUCGUGAACUUUUCUUUAGAGUAUUUCUGGUACCCUUUUGUAACUCAAUUGUUGAUUCAAAUAAAACUCUGAAGUUUCUUUUGUUUUUUUGUUUGUUCAAGAUUUACGGUUCUGCUCUUUACUUUCUUUUCUUGCAUGAUUCUUUAUUUUUUAGCACUUGUUUAUUACCAUUUUAAGUUCAGGGAUUGUAUUUUGGUUCCUUUGAUCAUAGCUGUUGUGUUCGUUGUAUCCUUGAUAUGUUUCUGAUUUGAUUGAUUGAAAUUAGACUAGGAUUUACUUGUUGCACACUCGGGUAUGUGGGAUUGUUUGUUUUGGUUAAUCUGAUACUUUAGUCACCAUGAUUUGUGCAUUAUAGUUGUUGUAGUAUGAGCAUAAUGCAGACUUGAGAUUUUGAACUUUUGAGAGUUUGAAGGCGAACCUACACCUUUAUGUGUCUGAAUUAGAUGCUAUAGGACCCCAAAGUGGGUCUGAUUCCAUCAAGAUGUCUUCAUGAGACAGGUUGGGCUUCAGAUUACCAAAUAGGUUAAUUCCCAGUUCUGCAUUUGCUUUGCUUCUUAGGAUUCUACUUGUAUCUUUGUAAUUGGUUUCUCUGCAGAGUGUAGUGUAGUAAGCAAUGUUCUUGGCAGCUUUGAGUCUUGCAAAUAUGAUAGGUUCCUGGAUAGGGAACCUAAUCAAGAACUUGCUUUUUGACACAAAACGACGCAAGGUAUGAAUGAAACUGUGUAGUAUUGACAAAAAGAAUGUUUGUACAACAAGAAAGUAGAGGCUUAACCCUCUCCAUAGGUCAAUACCUGUUUUACAAUCCAAUCCCCAAAAGUACCUCCCCACUAACUAAUCCUCUAUUUAUAACUACCUCACCUGCCCCUCCUUAACUGUUGUAAGCAAUUAAGAGAUAACAGCUAGUUAGUUAGCCUUCUUUCUUCUCUCGUACACUAUCCAUCUCUGCCUAUUCCUUUCAGACCUAUCAAUACCCUCCGCCUGAAACUCAACCUUGUCCCCAAGGUUGAAAUCGGGGUAUUGCUCCCGGAUGGUCACUUCAUCCUCCCAAGUUGCCCCAUCUGGACCCCCUUCUUGCCACUCUAUCAAAAGUUGUGGCACGGUCUUCUUUCCUUGUUGUGCUUGCCUUCUUCCAAGGACACCCAUUGGCCAAAAUGACGGCCCUUCUGCCUGCAAGUCUCACAGCAACUCCUUCUCUACUCUUUGCUCGCCUAUAGCCCUUUUCAGUUGUGACACGUGAAAAAUAGGGUGCAUCCGUGCCAUAUCUAGCAGCUGCAGCUUGUAAGCUACCUCCCCCACCCUCUGGAUGAUCUUAAAUAGCCCGAAAUAUCUCGCUGCCAACUUUGGGUGAAGCCUAGUUGGCAUUGAAGUCUGCCUAUGGUGCCUUAUCCUUAGAUAAACCCAAUCUCCUACCUCCAUACUCGCUGGUUUCCUAUUUUUGUUGGCUUGCCGCCCCAUCAACUCCUGUGCCCUCUCCAGAUGGAACCUCAACUGCCUCAAGGCUUCAUCUCGGGUCUGAAGCUCUUGACUCACUGCCUCUACUAACGUUUCGCCUGGAAUGAAUCUAUGCAACGAGGGGGGCCGUCUCCCAUAAACUGUCUCAAACAGAGUGCACUUUAUAGCUCCUUGAUAGCUGGUAUUGUACCAAUACUCAGCCCAAGGUAAGACUGUCAUGGGUGGUAUGCGGUGCUCAUCUUCAACUAUUUGGAAUAGGACAACAUCUACCACAACUAAAACAACCUCUAACAUAACUAAGACAACUACAAAGUACAUUUCUUUCAACUACUAUUUUCACAUUUUACGAUCUUCACAUUUUGUCUAUCCAUCAAUUAUUCCUUUUAUAACCUCAAAAUACUAAUAGUUCUUUAAAGUCAAUACAAAGAUCAUAAAUAUGAAGCUGAACAACAUUGUUAAGUAUAUUCACUCAAGGAAAGGAAUUUAGCAGCAGUAGCAACAAAGAGGGUCUCGAUCUGAUUAGGUUUCUAAUAAGAAGGAACGCAACAUGGAGACUAAAGGGAGAACUGAUUAAAGACAAAGAAUUGAAAAGUUUCCAUGCGAAGAUUCAUGUGUAUGAAAGGAGGAAGCAAAAGCAUUGGUGUGAAACAGCUGGUUCAACAAGUGUAAAGCUAUCAUCAAUGCAGAUUGAUCCAAAGUAACAAAAUCACUCGAGGAAUAAUUGUAAAAUGGAUGAGGACUCAGCAUAAAAUCAAGGGUUAUGAAGGGAAAUUGUUGAGCAGAGGAAAGAUUGCAAUGGCCGAUAUACAGUAGAAUGUAUAAGUGUUUACAUAUGAGAAAAAGUUCAUAUUUAACAGCUGAAAAAGUGCAGAGAAGCAAAGCUCCAAAGAUCUUAGGUCUUCAAACUAGAAUAAUCGAGUUCAAAUUGAGACAGAGAAAAAUGAAUACGUGGGCAUUAAGAGGAAGAGGAGCUUUUGGAUUUUCAUCGAAUUCAGCUGUGAGUCUAUGUCACUGUUACUGUGCAUUAAGUGGUAUCGAUGCUGUGAGUCAUGAAGAUAGAUUGAAGAACAUAUAUGACAUGAUGUUAUGCAUACAAACAUUCCUUACAUAAACUUAUCUGGAUUAUCGUUAGAUAGAACUAUGAUAUUAUUUUAACUUCUCUAUUGUUCAUACAACCCUUAUAACUGGUGCGAAUACAUUUUUUUUCGUAAUUUUAAUAAGUUCAAUUAGGAUGCUCUAUUUUCAUGUUAUCUCUGUUGGACUUUCCUUCAAGUUUUCGAGCAAAGAAGUCCUUAAAAUACUGAUUAACUCUGAUACUCUUGAACUGUGGUGGUAUUUGAUCAGUUAUCAAACGUGGUGAAGGACCUAUGACAGCAUCUUCUCUAGGGCUAUAGAAUGUUGCAAAUGAAAGUCUUUCCUUCUCAGAAUUCACUGUUGCUCGAUGCUCAACACNNNN